GAGCAAUUUAAGGUCAUUGCACUUUGCAUGUUCCUUGGACAAUACAUUUCUGCCUGCAUUCUUCUGUUUUUAGCAAGUUUGGACGCUUUUAAAGGACAUUUGCCUGCCAUAAAGAGGAUACCAUUUUCUGCCUGAAUGAGGUGUACUUGGAGUCUAACAGGGUUGCUGGUAGAAAUCUUAAAGAAGAGUUCUUUGGGGUUCUUGAUGGUUUGUGUCCAAGCUUGAUGGAAAUCUUCAAGAGGAAGACAGGUCGGACAGGCAAGCAGUUAGCUGACCUGCUACAACAGACAACGAGCACUGAGCCAACAGCCAUUAGAUGCCUUGUCAGAGGACACAUGUAGAAAGUUGCAGUUUUUUUUUUACCAACUCUGGUCCUCGCUGCAUAGUUAUUCUUAAUGCCUACUUUGUGUGGCACACAAAGCAUACAGUUUUUCCUUUAGCACUCGCACUAUGCUGCUACAUGGUCAGUGUUGUUUUUUUCAUGCUUGAAAAUUGUUCACAGAACAAAUACUUAAAAACUGUGCUGUGGUUGUAUUUGGAAGGAAAUUGUUUCAUAAUUCAAUACACAUGUUCUGU